GAUAAACGCUGGCGGCGUGCCUUACGCAUGCAAGUCGAACGGUGUCCUUCGGGGCACAGUGGCGGACGGGUGAGUAACACGUACGUGACCUGACGCGAAGCGGGGGAGUACCCGUCCGAAAGGGCGGCUAAUACCGCAUGUGGUCAUCGGGGAGUGCCCGGUGAGUAAAAGGGCUUUCGGUCGUCACUUCGUGGAGGGGCGGUGCGGCCGAUUAGCUCGUUGGUGGGGUAACGGCCUACCAAGGCGACGANCGGUAGCU
rnacentral:rRNA from 1 species